AGUUCAUGCCGUCCUUUGAGGGAAAUGGGUAGAGAGGCAGUGUUAGUUUUAAGUAAGGCACCACACACUCCAGCCCUCGAGGGGAAAGAGAGAGGAUCCUGGGUCCUCCCUCCCCAGCCACGGGCUCAAUGGCACUUGCCUGCCCCAGGGGCCCACCUGGGUGACCAGGGACAGUGACCUCCUAGGGAGGAGUGGGGAGGCCUCUGAGAGGUUGAAGGGAGACGGGAGGGGGAGUGUCAAGAGCCUGAACUUGAGAUGGGUCCUCAGGAACUCCCUCUGAAAAAAUAAACACAUCUGCCUGGAUCCCAGGCCUGACUGAGGAGCUAUCAGGACAGAUUCCAGCCAUUUUUGGCUUUUUCUAAAAGCUGACCUUUGCUAGGGCAUUAAAUUCAAUAAUCAGCCACCCUUCUGGUGCCCCGGUGUGUUUACAGUGUGACAGUGUACACUUGGGCUAAAUUAAAUUUCUUUUUGGAAAAACAAACCGACUGCAGUGCGCUUUACUAGACACACACUGGGGCAAUGUGUAUUCAUUUCUCUCUGUGCAGCACCAGGGAAGGUUUAAAGGGGCCUGGCCCGGUUCUUGCAGCUUUAAGCAGUACCAAGCAGAGGGACUGGGGAGAAGGUUCCCUUAAAGGCACAGUAACCUUGAACGUGUCCUCUCUUAGAAGGCUGGAGGAGGACAGAGGUAAAAUCCACACAAUGUCUACGUACAGCCACCUGGUAGGUGGCGUAUCUUGUGGAUCCCAGGCCCACCAGAGAUGACCUCUUUUUCAACCCCCUUAGGAGCCAUCCCUGAAAGCUCACUCUUUACCCAGAGUCUGUGUGACCCCAAGAGUUGCGCGGAAUUCUCAGAAGCCCAGAAUAAAACCGAAGGAGGCUCCUGCAAGGCACCCCCCCCAUUUUCCCCUGCUUCUGUCACACACAGACGUCUCAGGGCAUACAUGACAUUCACAGCCCUGCAUUUCCUGUGACCAGGGAGCUAGUCGUUGAACCUGAACAGCUGAGACAGCUUAAAGUAAUAAAUAUCAGCUGACACCCUUGGCCAUUCUGAGCAUUAAUCCCAUAAACAAUACAUCACGGCAAAACAACCAGCAGGCAUCCUAUCUCCUGGCUAAUCUGACCAUAACCUGAAUUUACAGUGAUUAAAACUCCGCCAGUUGCCAUCAGAGCACUUGGUUGGGAGAAGCAGAAUAUCUGAUGGCUGUCCCAGAGCAGACCUUAGAGGAGGCUGGCCAUGGCCCACUGCACAAAACCUCACAACGGUGGACAGCACCUGGCAGCAGCAGGGACCGGGGUAGGGGGGAUGGCGAGGUGAGAGAGGGUGGACUCCGAUUACAACUGGGUCAGUGGCUUACUCUGAAAAGCUGAGGCCAAUUUUAAGACCAUUUUUAUGAAAAGGACUAAUUUAAAGAGAAGGAUGUUUAAUUUUAGGAGCUAAUUGGUUUCCAGGAAAAAAAAAGAUCACCUGCCAGGAGACAAAAAAGAUUUUACAAAUAAAAGAGAGAUGAAUAAGAUAACCAUCUUCUCUUUGCCUUCGAAGGUGAAUAGCUCAGCACUUACGUGGCACUUUCCAUCUGUAGGAACCCGCACAAACACCAUCAAAGCUGAACACAGGGGCAUGAGAAGGAACAGCCCCAGACAAGCACCCGGCGUGGCUCUGCUGCAGCUCUGAAGGUGCCAGAAGCUGUUUCUGGCCACUCACCUCUCAAGAUUCCUAGGUUGCCAGGGAAAGGGAAGAAGCGUGUUAGGAGGGAAAUGGAAAGAGGCUGCCGGACAACGAUGGAGGACCAAACCCAACACACCAAAUCAUAGAAAAGCAAACUGGCCACACCACCAGAGACACAUGCCCUCCGGCAAUGAGGGGAGACGCCGCCCCUCUCGGCGCUGUCCCCUCACGGCGCCCUGGGGUGGUCCUGUCCCGCUCUCACGGCGCUGUAUCACCUCCCUGGCAGAUCCGUGCAACCAAUGAGACAGGCUACCUUGGUUGCCAGGUGACCGAGCCCUCCGGUAACCUCACCUGAACGCCCUCUCCCGUGAGAGCUGAGCAAGACUGGAUCUGCCAGAAUCGGUCGCGGAUGGUGUGCAG